rnacentral:rRNA from 1 species
AAAUGAAUUGACGGGGACCCGCACAAGCGGUGGAGCAUGUGGUUUAAUUCGAAGCAACGCGAAGAACCUUACCAAGUCUUGACAUCCCACUGACCGGCCGGUAACGCGGCCUUUCCUUCGGGACAGUGGAGACAGGUGGUGCAUGGUUGUCGUCAGCUCGUGUCGUGAGAUGUUGGGUUAAGUCCCGCAACGAGCGCAACCCUUAUCCUUAGUAGCCAGCAGGUGAGGCUGGGCACUCUAGGGAGACUGCCAGGGAUAACCUGGAGGAAGGUGGGGAUGACGUCAAAUCAUCAUGCCCCUUAUGACUUGGGCUACACACGUGCUACAAUGGCGUAAACAAAGUGAAGCGAGAGUGCGAGCUUAAGCAAAUCACAAAAAUAACGUCUCAGUUCGGAUUGUAGUCUGCAACUCGACUACAUGAAGCUGGAAUCGCUAGUAAUCGCGGAUCAGAAUGCCGCGGUGAAUACGUUCCCGGGUCUUGUACACACCGCCCGU